UGUAGCAGUACGGCACGCACUAAUAAUACAUACACGCGCUAAAGCGCAAUUCCAGCAUCUAUAGAGGCCUUUCCUGCGGCCAGCUACUACCAACAUGCCACGUGGCAUGCGUGAAGCUGACAGACGUUUGUAGCGGACCUAACAGGCUUGUGACCUUGGGCCCCACCGACAGUAUCCUACUACGGCAGGAGUGGUCGUGGAGAUUCGUCCGGCAGGUAGGCCGAGAUAUGAGCUUCUUCACCCAGGCGGGAUGCUCUGGCCAGACACUUAAGUAUCGCGACUACUUGGUGUUCGGAGGUCAAGACUCUGCUGUCGCCGGUCUAGUUAUACUGUACCUGUUAUGUAUUCUAGUGUCUGCCGCUGGGCUGGACUUCUUCCUGUUGCAGUUGCUAAACCUGCCGUUGGUGCCGUCCUGAAUGAACUGCCACAGCAGUUUUUAACCUUAACACCCCCACCGGCGGCUGCUGCCUACAUGUGCCCUCCACUGGCAUCGUUUUGAUGUUAUGCCUUCCUUGCUGUACUUCACUGGUCGCCACUAUGGCUCUUGUCCAGAGCAUGGACCCUUACACGCCCGGUACCAACCGCACCAUUGCCGCCGUC
rnacentral:lncRNA from 1 species